rnacentral:sRNA from 1 species
UACUCCUGUCACUCGAUGUGGCGUGCA